rnacentral:rRNA from 1 species
UACGGGGGGGGCAAGCGUUGUUCGGAAUUACUGGGCGUAAAGGGCUCGUAGGCGGCCAACUAAGUCAGACGUGAAAUCCCUCGGCUUAACCGGGGAACUGCGUCUGAUACUGGAUGGCUUGAGUUCGGGAGAGGGAUGCGGAAUUCCAGGUGUAGCGGUGAAAUGCGUAGAUAUCUGGAGGAACACCGGUGGCGAAGGCGGCAUCCCGGACCGACACUGACGCUGAGGAGCGAAAGCCAGGGGAGCAAACGGG